GAGGCUCGGCGCCAGUCUCUCCGUUACUAGCAUCAGAAAUAAAUACGAGUGAACUUUAUUACAAAUACUCUGUGAAGUAAAGUAUUGAAAGACAUUGGGAUCCUCUGUCGUCCAACAAUGAAUCUAGAUCUGCUUGUUCUUUCUUAUUAAUAACUGGCUCAGACUUUGGAUAAAACUUGAAGAAUUCUCUCUUUACUCAUGGAUAACUUCCUGCUUCUUUCUGAAUCAUUCGGGCAGAACUACCCGGAGGUAAGCCACCAGCAGCU